UUAUUGCUAAAGAGUAGAGGCAGACAGUAUCCCCUGUCUGAUGAGUAUGUUAGUGGCUACAUGACUGGGAAAAGGGGGGAGGACAGUUUCCAAUUGCCUAGGGCAGCAGAACUGCUUCAAGCUGGCACCGCAGCACGCCAAGUAAGCAUUCCCAGCACUGCUCCCAGUGAGGGAUUUAUGGCUUGGCUAUGCUAUGUGGUGAACUGUUAAAUAUUCAGAUUAUGGUACAAAUCGGGUGGGGGCUUAGAGCCAGAGCUCCAAGGCGACGCACUGGAGGUCUCGCUGACUUAUGAUGUGUGCAGUAAAAUGACGGCUGGGGAUUCCGCUGCCAUAAAUGUGGGUGUCACAUGUGCGGCUCCAAUGUAUGCAACAUAAGCCAUCUUGUAGGAGCCUGCUGGGGUCACAUCAGAAGAAAAUGUGGAACUGAAGAUGGAUCCCACUAGGAACUGAAGAGGUCUGUGUACCCAGCCCGGGCCCAUUGAGUACCUCAGACCCUGAAAGAAGUUGUGCAUUCCGAAAGCCUGUGGAACUCCAUGUACCACAGAGUCUGCUGCUAUUUUUAAUUCCAUUUAAUAAUGGCCAGGGGGACCCUCUACUUUCCAUUGUUUGUGUCUGGGGAAAAUAACGCUGCCAAGCUCUUUUCACUUGUUCUGUUUGUUCUCAGAAAUAAGGCCACUCUGUAGCUGGCAUGUACCAGCUUUCCCCACUCCCUGUGUCUUAACCACAAAUGUAUACAUCCCACAGCUUCUCCCCUGCUUGCUUGGUCUCUGCACUCAAGCAGCGUCCCGUCUGUCUGCAUUGACUUGGCAGGACAUGAUCAGAAGGAAGGAAAAUUCCCAGUGACACCAAUCAUAUGGAACAGCCUUACAGGCCUAGAGAGAUUCCUACACCUUUAGAGUUCAGCCAGAGAUCCUUCCCGCGGUGAACAUUGUAUUGAACAUGUUACUGAAGGGAGUAUUGAGGUAGUCUAAGCUGUAGGUGGGCAAGCAGGCUCUGGAGGAACCCCAAUAUCUCGGUAUUUGAACUGAUGUUUAUUUUUUCUUGGCUUUCUUUUGUCUCAAGGUGUCAUUUAUUCAGGUAUGAAAUAACACAAGAUCUAGUCUGCUUACAGUUGGAACCUGCACUUCCUGAGCCCAAUUCUGAUUAGAGCAGGGAGAAUAAUGGAAGUUUUGGCUUACCAGCAAUACCAAAAAAUCAAGGGUGGAGGGGGAAAAUCAUU